rnacentral:misc_RNA from 1 species
GAUGAAGAACGUAGCGAAAUGUGAUAAGUAAUGUGAAUUGCAGAAUUCAGUGAAUCAUCGAAUCUUUGAACGCACAUUGCGCCCCUUGGUAUUCCGAGGGGCAUGCCUGUUCGAGCGUCAUUACACCACUCAAGCUAUGCUUGGUAUUGGGCGUCGUCCUUAGUUGGGCGCGCCUUAAAGACCUCGGCGAGGCCACUCCGGCUUUAGGCGUAGUAGAAUUUAUUCGAACGUCUGUCAAAGGAGAGGAACUCUGCCGACUGAAACCUUUAUUUUUCUAGGUUGACCUCGGAUCAGGCAGGGAUACCCGCUGAACUUAAGCAUAUCAAUAAGCGGAGGA